UGUCACGAGGUGACAUCGUGAUCACUCUGUGAUCACCCCUGGUGUGGGAAAUGUCACCCGAUAAUUGAGAGCAGAUGUACAGGGGUUUGGGAAGGGACAUGUGUGAGGGCAGGGGAUUCCAGCUAGAGACACCGACAGGGUAGGACGUGCCCAGAUUGUCCUGAAUAAAGGUUAUCAUAUCCGCAACAUCAUGCCUCUGUCCUGAUCCUUGACUUGACUCACUACCAUGCCACCGUGACAUCUGGUAGUACGGCUGGGGUGAGUCAGGUUCAACGGACGGGACAGAGGCAAACGGGAGGCGUUCAGAGACGCAGGAGAGAGUGCCGACCCGGAGUACCGAGCCCGCGGGGUUGACCAGCAAGGGGCAAGGCGGCGAGGGAGUGUCGGUGGCCGAGGCGAGCGAGAGGAAGCAGGAGGGGAGGCGUGCGAGAGAUGCAGACUGACUCGGAGUGAUCUGUGAUCAUGAUAACCGCGACAGUAAUGGCCUAUAGCUGCGGCGAGGGGAGCGGAGUACGGCCACACGGCGGGCGCGGCAGCAGGGCAAGGGCAGGACGGCCACGCGGCGGUGACCGGAGGAAGAGCGGGUCCGGGCAGAGAGAGACACAGGAGGAAGGUGAGAUUCUACAGUCAACUCGGCGGACAACGAUGUCCCGAGGGCCCGACGUCGUAUAGGAGUCGUCGUCGUGGGAGCAUCUAGCCGGGAGGCCUCUGUGGACAAGACAAGCCUCUUCCCGACGGGCAGAGGAGUUCCUGCCGUUUCCCUGUGGUUCCGGGACACACCCGGAAGUGCGCAAGCCGGCCGCCGAGGAGGAAGUUGGAGCAAAACACCUUGCAACCAUUGAUGAACUUCUGUUGUAAAUUGUUGUGUUUUUGUUGCUGUUUUUGUGUAUGUCGGACUAUCGUCGACCUGUUUUUGAUUAUGUACGAGUAUGUUGUUGUUCCCUUACCUUUUUAUUAUGAAUUGAUCGUUGUAUUGUAGAAGAAUUAGUAUAAAAAAAAGCGGUGAUUCUUGUAAUUAACACUGAUGCCUGCUGUCAACAAUGUGGAAAUUGUUAAAAAAAUGAGGGGUGAGGUGUCACGAGGUGACAUCGUGAUCACUCUGUGAUCACCCCUGGUGUGGGAAAUGUCACCCGAUAAUUGAGAGCAGAUGUACAGGGGUUUGGGAAGGGACAUGUGUGAGGGCAGGGGAUUCCAGCUAGAGACACCGACAGGGUAGGACGUGCCCAGAUUGUCCUGAAUAAAGGUUAUCAUAUCCGCAA